rnacentral:rRNA from 1 species
AACGAACGCUGGCGGCAGGCCUAACACAUGCAAGUCGAACGCUCUAGCAAUAGAGAGUGGCAGACGGGUGAGUAACGCGUGGGAAACUUCCUAGGGGUACGGAAUAGCUCAGGGAAACUUGGGGUAAUACCGUAUGAUGCCGUAAGGCCAAAGAUUUAUCGCCCUUAGAUGUGCCCGCGUCGGAUUAGCUAGUUGGUGAGGUAAUGGCUCACCAAGGCGACGAUCCGUAGCUGGUUUGAGAGAAUGACCAGCCACACUGGGACUGAGACACGGCCCAGACUCCUACGGGAGGCAGCAGUGGGGAAUCUUGGACAAUGGGCGCAAGCCUGAUCCAGCCAUGCCGCGUGAGUGACGAAGGCCUUAGGGUUGUAAAGCUCUUUUGCCGGGGACGAUAAUGACGGUGCCCGGAGAAUAAGUCCCGGCUAACUUCGUGCCAGCCGCCGCCGUAAGAC